UUGGAUUGAUUGGUCCGAAAACCAAUCGAGCAGAAGUUACGAUGCUGUUGUCGCGUAAUUUCAGUAGGAAACCUGCGUGUAUGAGAGCGUGAGCAUUUUGGGCGCGCGGCAUUAUCUGGAAACGAAGUUAGUAUAACUUGAGAAAAGGAGUGAUUGGGAGCAUUCUUACCCAAUGUUAAUUGAGCACCUACUGUUUCCAGAAUGAGAAAUAAAUCGGAUGGAAAUUCAUGAUGUUCGUGUUUGGUACUCAAGAAAACGGGUGUAAUAGUCUAGGCGAUAGAGACUGUAAAAUUGGCAAACUGGACAUUUUGAGGUGGAAAAGAAAAAAAUGGUGGAAUAUGUUCAGUU